AGUGAACGCUGGCGGUAGGCCUAACACAUGCAAGUCGAACGGCAGCACAGUAAGAGCUUGCUCUUACGGGUGGCGAGUGGCGGACGGGUGAGGCAUACAUCGGAAUCUACUUUUUCGGGGGGGAUAACGUAGGGAAAGUUACGCUAAUACCUCAUACGACCUACGGGUGAAAUCAGGAGAUCUUGAGACCUUUGGCGAUUGAAUGAGCCGAUGUCGGAUUAGCUAGUUGGCGGGGUAAAGGCCCACCAAGGCGACGACCCGUAGCUGGUCUGAGAGGAUGAUCAGCCACACUGGAACUGAGACACGGUCCAGACUCCUACGGGAGGCAGCAGUGGGGAAUAUUGGACAAUGGGCGAAAGCCUGAUCCAGCAAUACCGCGUGAGUGAAGAAGGCCUUCGGGUUGUAAAGCCCUUUUGUUGGGAAAGAAAAGCAGCAGGUUAAUACACCGAUGUCCUGACGGUACCCAAAGAAUAAGCACCGGCUAACUUCGUG
rnacentral:rRNA from 1 species